GUGCUCCCUUCGGCAGCACAUAUACUAAAAUUGGAUGAUACAGAGAUUAGCAUGGCCCCUGUGCACGGAUGACACACAAAGUUGUGAAGUGUUCCAUAUUUUU